GUCGUGAUGGAACCAACUUUUAUCUCGUAAAUUACCCCACUAAUAAUGCUCUGAAUGGUACGAAACAUCUACAGUACUACAACUAUGACCUUUAGUCCAACUUUGUUUGACUAUAUUUCCAGGUUUCAAC